UUAGGAAACAUUCUCAAGAACACCUUCCUCCCCCCCCCCCAGCCUCCCACUCCCCUGCUUGUACCUUGAACCGUGUCACCAACAGAGGCUGCACCGUCUCCAGAAAUCUCCAGUGCAGUCACUACCUCUCUUUUACCCUCAUCUUCGAAUCUCGUUUGCGCAAAAGACCAACAUCCCGGCAUAAUCUUUAACUUCGUUAUGACCUCCUCCCCCCCCCCCCAUCCCUAGUUCUUAGGCAUUUGCUCACAGAUUCUUCCUUCCUCAGAGUUCAUGGUGCAUCUUUGUAACACUUUUAGAAAUUUCCCCCCAUCUGUGUCUUGGUUUCCUCCUCCACGAAAUGGGAUAAUCACACCUACUUCCUACAGUUUUCCUCAUAAUUACACAAGUUAAUGCCCGUGAAAGAACUUAGAAAAGUGCCUGUCCCACAGUAAGUUCUCAGUAUGUUUUCGUUAUUUUAUUAUCAGGCAAGGGUUUCCCGGAAGAGGUGAGCCUGAAAGAGGAGAAGAAUUUAGUCAAGGUGUGGGAGAGUGGGGGAAGAAUUUGCUUGGCGAAGGGGGACAGCUUGUGCAAACCCCCGGAGGAGGGAAAACAUAGCUUGAAAAUCAGCUGGCUGUUAAGUAGGUCAUUAUAUUUAACGCAAAAAUCUGGAAUGAAAAAGCUUAAAAAAAAAAAAAGAAGAAGAAGAAGAAGGUGGAAGAGGAGCCAUAUUAUAAGCCACACCGCGCCCUUCUAGUUUUUCAAGUCAGGUGGAUUCACUUCAAUAAGAAAUUCAGGUGACUUCCAACAGGGGGCACUAUUGCCUUCACAUUUUCAUGAAUGAUGCUUCCCCACCUGUCUCCCGCUAUUUAUGCAACACAGAAGGAAGCCUUUGGAGUUGUUGAAAAGAGAAUUGGAUUUAUCGCGUAACCUCACUGCUAUGCCUCACAGUCUGCGACGAUAUUCAGGUGGGUUCCAAUAUCAACACAUGGUGUGCUGGUAUAGUUCAUUAUCAAUGUUAUCAGUAGCCACCAAAAAUAUACACAAAGUCCAGAGGAUGGUGCGAAACACUUUUCCUUUUCCUGUGGGUAGUCUCUCAGUCCAUAUCCAGUCAGCCUUGAUGGGUUCUCUCCAGUCCCUUAUUGCCAAUUUUCCUCCUUCAACCAGAUACAGUACCCUCUACUAGUGUCUAGCAUGAAGGUGUUGGACAGACCUUAGGCCUUGAAGAUGUCAGAGGGGAAACCUUUCUCUAGGUAAUUUGAAUAUUAACUGCCUCUCUUAGCAUGCUACAGGAACCUCCCUCCCUAAAGCAAGAGUGAAAAUUGGAAAGGAGUGAGGGUAACUCAUUCAUUCCACGCCAAUAUGUAUUUAUCUGAUAACAUGAAAAAGUUGUUUCUCUUCUGAGUUGCAUUUACAAUACAAAUAUUAGCCACGGUAGAAUGACUUAGCUGUCCCACGGUUCUUUCCCAAUGAUAGCAAAGUUAUUCUGUUUGUUUGAACUUGCCUCAUGUUAUGAAACCCAGUUUAAUCAUUUCGCAAAUUUGCUUUAGAGGAGAAUCAGACUAGCUGAUCAGACAGGGACGGCAGCUUCCAUUACUGCCAUUUCUGCCUGUGACUUUUGAAAGUUAACUAAAUUACGGAUGUAUUUUUAAAUAAAUGCUUGUUUGGUUUUUUUUAAUCUCA
rnacentral:lncRNA from 1 species